AAUUUUGUUCUCAACCUAAUUUGGGCCAAAAUGCAAUUACCACAACUUUUUGGGCUAUAUUGCAAAACAUAAACUUUUGGGGUCACUUUGUAAAAACACAAAAUUCCACUACUUCAUGUAAUUACAACUAGAACCCAAAAUUUUCAACAAAUUCAAAAACUUCAUUAAAGGAACAAAACAAUUUGUCCUUUAAUGAUUUUGGGCCUUUACGUAAAUACGUAAACUUUUGGAUCAAACUACAAAUUACACAAAAGUACCAAAACUUUAUGUAAUUGCAUAAAAGCCCCAAAAACACCCCACUUGUAGGGUGGCCGGUUUUGGAGAGAAGGGAGUGAUGUGUGUGUUGAUUUGUAGUUUUAGACAUAAAGUCAUGCAAGUGGUGCAUGACAUAAAUGUCAUGCGAGUGGUGUGUGUGAAAGGGAAUUAAUCCUUACACACCCACCAAUAUUUCUUACACCUUUCUAAAUAAAUAUCUAACACAUUUAAACAUUUGAAAAAUAUAAAACAUAAACUUUAUGAAAUAAAUCAAAACACCAAACUUUUUGUUCUUGGCAAAAUGUCAAGAACAAUGAAAAACACUCAUGAAAAACUCAAAAAAUUUCCAUGAACAUUUUUCACCCAAGAACAUCCCAAAACCAUUCAAACUUAAGGGAAAUAACAUAUAACCAAACUAGGGUACAUAGGGGUUCCAAAAGUUACUUGAAAACACUUUUAACAAGUCAAACAAGAACCCAAAAAUCCACCCUUUGGAUUUAGCCGAAUUUUCCCAAAAACAUGGCACCAAAUUUUAGCUCCAAUAUUCAUGCUCAUAUGAACUGCAUCUACAACAUUUGAGAUGGCAAAUUUUCCAACAAAAUUUACAUUCAAAGAAACAAGAAUAAAGCUUGUAACAUAUUACAACAUUUAAAUCAAAGACUAUGAACUACAAAACCCAAAAGGAUUCACCAACUACUAGACCUAGACUCUGAUACCACUUGAAGGAAAUUUUGUGAAAAACAUGUUCAUUUAAGCAACAUCUAUAUAGCACGCAUUUAACAAUUAAAGGCAGAAUCAUGCUUGCAUGCACUCAAAAACAAAACAUCAACCAUGAAAUUCAAAGCCUAGUAGAUUGGUGAACCAAGACUCAACUCAAAUCAAAGUGAGUUGAGAAAUUUAUACCUUUGUAGAUUCCUCUUUGCACAAGCAAAGGCUAAUCACCCAAAGAGAGGGCCUUCAUUCCUUGCAUCUUAGAUCUAUGGAUUUAGAUGGAUGAAAUGGUUCUCCAAGUUCCCAAAAUUGAGAACCUCUAAGUCUCUUCACCAAGGUUAG
rnacentral:lncRNA from 1 species